AAGCAGGAGGUGUCAGAAAACUUGCCACAGGGAUAACUGGCUUGUGGCAGCCAAGCAUUCAUAGCGAUAUUGCUUUUUGAUCCUUCGA
rnacentral:miRNA from 14 species